ACUAUGUUUCACAACUCUUAAUUUAUUUUCUUUUUUAUUUAAAAGGAUCCUGGAUCCAGAAGAUGAAGAUUUGUUUGCAAACCUUCCAGAACUAGAGGACGACUUCACCAAUCUCCCAGAUCUCGAGGAAGACGAGGAUGAGGAAGAUCUGUUUGCAAAUCUCCCAGAACUUGAGAAUGAUGACGACCACCUGGAAGUAGAUCAGUUUGCAAAUCUCCCGGGUCUCGAGGAUGAAGAGGAAGAGAACGAGGAAGAGCUGUUUGCAAAGUGAGUAUUUAUCAACAUGAAUUUACAUC